GACGAACGCUGGCGGCGUGCUUAACACAUGCAAGUCGAACGGAAAGGCCCUGCUUUUGUGGGGUGCUCGAGUGGCGAACGGGUGAGUAACACGUGAGUAACCUGCCCUUGACUUUGGGAUAACUUCAGGAAACUGGGGCUAAUACCGGAUAGGAGCUCCUGCUGCAUGGUGGGGGUUGGAACGUUUCGGCGGUUGGGGAUGGACUCGCGGCUUAUCAGCUUGUUGGUGGGGUAGUGUCUUACCAAGGCUUUGACGGGUAGCCGGCCUGAGAGGGUGACCGGCCACAUUGGGACUGAGAUACGGCCCAGACUCCUACGGGAGGCAGCAGUGGGGAAUAUUGCACAAUGGGCGGAAGCCUGAUGCAGCAACGCCGCGUGCGGGAUGACGGCCUUCGGGUUGUAAACCGCUUUCGCCUGUGACGAAGCGUGAGUGACGGUAAUGGGUAAAGAAGCACCGGCUAACUACGUG
rnacentral:rRNA from 1 species